UACGGAGGGUGCGAGCGUUGUCCGGAAUCAUUGGGCGUAAAGGGCGCGUAGGUGGCGGGACAAGCGUGCGGUGAGAGCCUGGGGCUCAACCCCGGGUCGGCCGUGCGAACUGUUUUGCUUGAGCACUGUAGAGGCAGGCGGAAUUCCGGGUGUAGAGGUGAAAUUCGUAGAUAUUCGGAAGAACACCAGUGGCGAAGGCGACUUACUGGACACAUAUUGACGCUGAGGUGCGAAAGCGUGGGGAGCAAACAGG
rnacentral:rRNA from 1 species